rnacentral:rRNA from 1 species
CGGAGGGUGCAAGCGUUAUCCGGAUUCACUGGGUUUAAAGGGUGCGUAGGUGGGAAUGUAAGUCAGUGGUGAAAUCUCCGUGCUUAACAUGGAAACUGCCAUUGAUACUAUGUUUCUUGAAUUUUCUGGAGGUAAGCGGAAUAUGUCAUGUAGCGGUGAAAUGCUUAGAUAUGACAUAGAACACCAAUUGCGAAGGCAGCUUACUACAGGGAUAUUGACACUGAGGCACGAAAGCGUGGGGAUCAAACAGGAUUAGAUACCCUGGUAGUCCACGCCCUAAACGAUGGAUACUCGACAUUUGUGAUACACAAUAAGUGUCUGAGCGAAAGCAUUAAGUAUCCCACCUGGGAAGUACGACCGCAAGGUUG